AGAGUUUGAUCCUGGCUCAGGAUGAACGCUAGCGGCAGGCUUAACACAUGCAAGUCGAGGGGCAGCAUAAUGGAUAGCAAUAUCUAUGGUGGCGACCGGCGCACGGGUGCGUAACGCGUAUGCAACCUACCUUUAACAGGGGGAUAACACUGAGAAAUUGGUACUAAUACCCCAUAAUAUCAUAGAAGGAAUCUUUUAUGGUUGAAAAUUCCGAUGGUUAGAGAUGGGCAUGCGUUGUAUUAGCUAGUUGGUGGGGUAACGGCUCACCAAGGCGACGAUACAUAGGGGGACUGAGAGGUUAACCCCCCACACUGGUACUGAGACACGGACCAGACUCCUACGGGAGGCAGCAGUGAGGAAUAUUGGUCAAUGGACGCAAGUCUGAACCAGCCAUGCCGCGUGCAGGAUGACGGCUCUAUGAGUUGUAAACUGCUUUUGUACGAGGGUAAACGCAGAUACGUGUAUCUGUCUGAAAGUAUCGUACGAAUAAGGAUCGGCUAACUCCGUGCCAGCAGCCGCGGUAAUACGGAGGAUUCAAGCGUUAUCCGGAUUUAUUGGGUUUAAAGGGUGCGUAGGCGGUUUGAUAAGUUAGAGGUGAAAUUUCGGGGCUCAACCCUGAACGUGCCUCUAAUACUGUUGAGCUAGAGAGUAGUUGCGGUAGGCGGAAUGUAUGGUGUAGCGGUGAAAUGCUUAGAGAUCAUACAGAACACCGAUUGCGAAGGCAGCUUACCAAACUAUAUCUGACGUUGAGGCACGAAAGCGUGGGGAGCAAACAGGAUUAGAUACCCUGGUAGUCCACGCAGUAAACGAUGAUAACUCGUUGUCGGCGAUACACAGUCGGUGACUAAGCGAAAGCGAUAAGUUAUCCACCUGGGGAGUACGUUCGCAAGAAUGAAACUCAAAGGAAUUGACGGGGGCCCGCACAAGCGGAGGAACAUGUG
rnacentral:rRNA from 1 species